ACGAACGCUGGCGGCGUGCCUAAUACAUGCAAGUAGAACGCUGAAGAGAGGAGCUUGCUCUUCUUGGAUGAGUUGCGAACGGGUGAGUAACGCGUAGGUAACCUGCCUUGUAGCGGGGGAUAACUAUUGGAAACGAUAGCUAAUACCGCAUAACAAUGGAUGACACAUGUCAUUUAUUUGAAAGGGGCAAUUGCUCCACUACAAGAUGGACCUGCGUUGUAUUAGCUAGUAGGUGAGGUAAUGGCUCACCUAGGCGACGAUACAUAGCCGACCUGAGAGGGUGAUCGGCCACACUGGGACUGAGACACGGCCCAGACUCCUACGGGAGGCAGCAGUAGGGAAUCUUCGGCAAUGGGGGCAACCCUGACCGAGCAACGCCGCGUGAGUGAAGAAGGUUUUCGGAUCGUAAAGCUCUGUUGUAGGUCAAGAACGGGUGUGAGAGUGGAAAGUUCACACUGUGACGGUAGCUUACCAGAAAGGGACGGCUAACUACGUG
rnacentral:rRNA from 1 species